rnacentral:rRNA from 1 species
CAACGGAUCUCUUGGUUCUGGCAUCGAUGAAGAACGCAGCGAAAUGCGAUAAGUAAUGUGAAUUGCAGAAUUUAGUGAAUCAUCGAAUCUUUGAACGCACAUUGCGCCCCUUGGUAUUCCGAGGGGCAUGCCUGUUCGAGCGUCAU